rnacentral:rRNA from 1 species
UACGUAGGGUGCAAGCGUUAAUCGGAAUUACUGGGCGUAAAGCGUGCGCAGGCGGUGAUGUAAGACAGGUGUGAAAUCCCCGGGCUUAACCUGGGAACUGCAUUUGUGACUGCAUCGCUGGAGUGCGGCAGAGGGGGAUGGAAUUCCGCGUGUAGCAGUGAAAUGCGUAGAUAUGCGGAGGAACACCGAUGGCGAAGGCAAUCCCCUGGGCCUGCACUGACGCUCAUGCUCGAAAGCGUGGGGAGCAAACAGG